rnacentral:lncRNA from 1 species
AUGGCCCGGAGCCUGACUGUGGACAGGACAGAGACGUUCGUCCCCACGAGGCGGUAUUUCAGGCUCACGAGCUUGGCUAUGUGGCAGACGCCGAGCCACGGGUGCUGGUUCCACAGUGACCUGCGGCUGGUGGCAGUUCCGCCCUCCCUGGGAGUGUUUCGGGACAGACCCACGGGGACACCGCACAGACCGGCACCUUGCUCGUGCACAGGGCGGACUCCAGGCGCAUUCACGGAGGGCUCACUCCCGCCCUGCAGAGCCGCAGGCAGAGGCCGGGCUCGGCACACGAGGUGGGGUGAAGGCCACAGCUGCACAGACCCAAGGGAAGGACAUGACAGAUGGGGGCUCUGUCACGCCCCCACGCCCCUGUGCACUGCAGGACGGGCUGUCCACGCCCCUGUGCACUGCAGGACGGGCUGUCCACGCCCCCACGCCCCUGUGCACUGCAGGACGGGCUGUCCACGCCCCUGUGCACUGCAGGACGGGGCUGUCCACGCCCAUGUGCACUGCAGGACGGGCUGUCCGUGCCCCUGUGCACUGCAGGACGGGCUGUCCGUGCCCCUGUGCACUGCAGGACGGGGCUGUCCGUGCCCCUGUGCACUGCAGGACGGGGCUGUCCACGCCCCUGUGCACUGCAGGACGGGGCUGUCCGUGCCCCUGUGCACUGCAGGACGGGGCUGUCCGUGCCCCUGUGCACUGCAGGACGGG